UAUGUGGAGGUUCAAUUGAAGAUAAAACACCUCAAGCAAUUAGAGAGUUAAUUUCAACAAUGGCAGCCGCAUCCAAGCAAUAUGGAGAUCAAAGAGAACUGCUAAGGAGAGUUAAUAAGGUGAGUACAUCUUCCUUAGCUUCACAAAUUUCUGAUUUAACUUCUAUUGCCCGUAGUUUGGUUGUAGUUCAGGCUCAACAAAUUCAUCAAGAACAGCAAGUCAAUGCCAAUAGAGGAUUUAAUGGACAACAGAGAUACGAUCCCUACUUUGACACUUACAAUCUAGGUUGGAGGGAGCACUCAAACUUCAGUCAUGCUAGGGCAAAUCAAUAUCAAAAUUCAGCCCAAGUAGCACCUCAGAAAUCUAGUGUGCCCCUUGAAGAGAUGGUAGAAUCUUUAGCAAAUACGGUGCAAAACCUUCAAGAGCAGAUGAGUCAAAUGGCUACCUCCAUGAGUGAGCUAGAAUCUCAAAGGAAGUUAACUUCCCAAACCGAGGCUAAUCCCAAGCAAAAUGCAAGUGCAAUCAUUUUGAGAAGUGGGAGAGAGCUUAAUAAUGAUAGGGCUGAUGAUAAAGGUUCACAACUGCAUAAACAAGCUGCUGAAGAAAAUCUGCCAGAAAUUGAGCCAGAAAAUCUAUUUGCCCAAACAGGCGGGCAAAUAAGCAGACAACAUUCAUAGCAGGACAGAAGCUGUUUGACCCAGCAGGCAGAAACUGUUUGCCCAAAUAGAUUGGGCAAAUAGAACUAGCACUCCAGUAGAAUUCAGGUCGGCAAGAAAGAUUCAAAAUUCCACCUCCCUUUCCAAAAAGGUUUGAAAAAUCACAAAAAGAAAAAGAAGAAAGAGAGAUCCUUGAAACCUUUAGGAAAGUGGAGAUCAACAUACCUUUGCUAGACGCUGUGAAACAAAUACCAAGGUAUGCUAAGUUCUUGAAAGAAUUGUGCACAAACCAAAGGAAGCUUGCUGAGAAGGAAAAGGUAAGUGUAGGGGAGGUUGUGACAGCUGUCAUAAAAAGGAAACUCUCAGCCAAGUGCAAAGAUAGAGGGAUGUUUGUUGUCUCUUGCAAAAUUGGCAAUUUGGGUAUCAAGAAGGCCAUGUGUGACCUAAAUGCAUCAAUUAACGUUAUGUCUCUUUCUAUUUAUAACUCUUUGAAUGCAGGUGCACUUAAAGACACUAGAGUGGUCAUUCAAUUGGCUGACAGAUCUGUGGUACAUCCGAAAGGCAUUUUAGAAGAUGUUCUAGUGCAAGUGGAUCAACUUAUCUUUCCAGCAGAUUUCUAUAUGAUUGAUAUGGAGGAAGACAAUAACAUCACUACAUCAGAAAUCUUGCUUGGACGACCCUUCUUGAGCACGGCCGAGACUAAGAUAGAUGUGCAUGAUGGCAUAUUGACCAUGGAAUUCAAACACUACAAAAAAACAGUGAUUUAGCGACCAAAAUUUUGGUCGCUAAAAGGCAGAAUUUGGUCGCUAUUGUGAAAUAGCGACCAUUUAGCGACCAAAAUGAAAUGGUCGAUGUUUAGCCAGUCGCUAAUUUUUUGGCGACAAUCUGGAAAAUGGUCGCUAAAAUAGCGACCAAUCAGCGACCAUUUUUUGGUCGCUAAUUUGGUGUCAUGGCAAAUUAGGUAUUAGAAAUAUUAGUCGCUAAAUGGUCGCUGUUUUGUCGUUAAGUUUUGGUCGCUAAAUGUUCGCUGUUGUGGUCGCUAAUUUGAUCGCUAUUUCGUUGUUAUUUGAUCGCCUCAAAGAAGAGCAUUUGGUCGCUGUGUGGAAGUAAAUUGGUCGUUAAAUUUUGAUCGCUAUUUUGGUCGCUAAUUUGGUCGCUAUUUCUUUGCUAUUUGAUCGCUUCAGAGAAUAGCAUUUAGUCGCUAUGUUGAAGUAAAUUGGUCGUUAAAUUUUGGUCGUGAAAUGGUCGCUGUUUUAGUCGCUAAUUUGAUCGCUAUUUAGUCGUUAUUUGAUUGCAUCAGAGAAGCAAUUAGUCGCUAUUUCGUCGCAAAUUAAUAGUAAAAUUAAAAAAAUAUUUAUUAUUUAAUUUAUUUUUGUGGCUGAUUAGUCACUAAUAAAUGCAUUUAAAUCUGAUUCAUAUUAUUUUUUCAAUAAAUUCAUAAACCUGCUAUAAUAUCAAUAUGUACACACACAUUCCAAUACAUAAAACAUCAAAGACAAUAUAUACACAUAAAUUUCAUUUCAUGAUUCUGCAAUCUAAAAGUUCAAAACAUUACUAUAGUUCAAUACUAAGAAACUUAAAAUAUCUCAAAAUAUGUAAUGGAUCCAAAUAGUUUCAAAUUCAUAUCAUAAAAUAUAUUAUUUAAGUACGUGAGAAAUGACAUCAUGCUAAUCCAUAUGUGAAUCACCAAGAGAUCUAUGAGCUGGAGGAAUAUCAGACGAUGAUGGCAUCAAUGAGGAAGACUGCUGUCCCAUCUUCGUUGUCUGUAGUUCAUCACGCAUUUGAGCUAUCAGCUGAUUUUGGUGUUCUACAAGUUUUUGCAAACUAUUAUACUUCUCUUCAAACUUUGCUUCAAUUUCCUUCUUCCAUUCUGGUGAUUGGGAUGAUGGAACAUUUAUUGAUAUUCCCCCAGUUCCUGUUUGAGAGAAGGCAGAAGAGGCAGCACUACCUAAACCAUAAACUCGACUUCCUUGCCAUCCUCCUGCUGCAGUAAUAAACAAUUGAUCCUCAUUAAUAGUUCCUUCAUCUCCUUCCACAUGAUCUGAUCCCACAUACUGGCUUGAAUGUUGUUCUUUUAGCUUCAGAUAAUUUUCCUACAAAAUCACAUAAUAACAGUUCAAUUUGAAUACUAAAGUAAGGAAAAAUGCUAAGACCUACAAGAUAUGACAAUUAUAAUACCUGCAAGAUAUCACAUUUACAAUACUUGCAAGAUAUCAUAAUAGAAAAAUCAAUCACACAACUGAGAAUCAUAAACAAUUUCCUUGUGAGAAUCACCUAGAUAUCAAAAUCAUACUUGCAACUGAAAAUCAAUCACACAACUGAGAAUCAUAACCAAUUUCCUUGUGAGAAUCAUCUAGAUAUCAAAAUCAUACUUGCAACUGAAAAUCAAUCACACAACUUAAAAUCAAUCAACAACUCAAAAUCAAUUACACAACUGAGAAUCAUAAACAAUUUCCUUGUGAGAAUGACCUAGAUAUCAAAAUCAUACUUGCAACUGAAAAUCAAUCACACAACUCAAAAUCAAUCAACAACUCAAAAUAAAUCACACAACUGAGAAUCAUAAACAAUUUCCUUGUGAGAAUCAUAAACAAUUUCCUUGUGAGAAUCACCUAGAUAUCAGAAUCAUACUUGCAACUGAAAAUCAAUCAAACAACUCAAAAUCAAUCACACAACUGAGAAUCAUAAAUAAUUUCCUUGUGAGAAUGACCUAGAUAUCAGAAUUAUACUUGUAACUGAAAAUCAAUCACACAACUCAAAAUCAAUCAACAACUCAAAAUCAAUCACACAACUGAGAAUCAUAAACAAUUUCCUUGUGAGAAUUACCUAGAUAUCAGAAUCAUACUUGCAACUGAAAAUCAAUCAAACAACUCAAAAUCAAUCACACAACUGAGAAUCAUAAACAAUUUCUUUGUGAGAAUCACCUAGAUAUCAGAAUCAUACUUGCAAUUGAAAAUCAAUCACACGACUCAAAAUCAAUCAACUACUCAAAAUCAAUUACACAACUGAGAUAUCAGAAUCAUACUUGCAACUAAAAAUCAAUCACAACUCAAAAUCAAUCAACAACUAAUAAUCAAUCACAUAGACAUCAAAAUCAUACUUGCAAGAUAUUACUUAGAAAGACAACUUGUUUAUAUAGAAACUUACAUAAACAAUUUCAGCUCGUUUAUCAACAAAUUUGUUGCGAUCACUCUUCUUUUGUAUGCGUCUAGCAUGCUCCUCAUGUGUUAUGGACCCACCUGUAUGUUUAGAAGGACCAGCUCCUUCACCUCCCUUCUCUGUUAGGCGGUUCUUUGAGUACUUCAUUGACUUUGCUACAUACUCUGGAGUACUCCAAUCUAAAUUCCAUUUAUCCCAAACUUCAAUUGAUAUAUAAGCACUCCUCUUUUUUUUCUUCUUUUCAUUUGUCAGAAAGUCUUUGUAUCGGGUAGCUGCUUUUUUAUUCCAUGCCUUCCUCACUAUUGCAGCACUUCCCUCAUCCCAGUGAAAUUCUUUCU
rnacentral:lncRNA from 1 species